GUGAUUUAGGGAUGAACAGGUUGCUUAUAUUCAUCCAUCUGAUUCACUUUGUCAGCUGCCUCAUUUGUUUUCUUCCUGAUUAUUAUUAGAUGCUUUAGUA